rnacentral:rRNA from 1 species
GCACAAGCGGUGGAUGAUGUGGAUUAAUUCGAUGCAACGCGAAAACCUUACCUACCCUUGACAUGUCUGGAACCUUGCUGAGAGGCGAGGGUGCCUUCGGGAGCCAGAACACAGGUGCUGCAUGGCUGUCGUCAGCUCGUGUCGUGAGAUGUUGGGUUAAGUCCCGCAACGAGCGCAACCCUUGUCAUUAGUUGCCAUCAUUUGGUUGGGCACUCUAAUGAGACUGCCGGUGACAAACCGGAGGAAGGUGGGGAUGACGUCAAGUCCUCAUGGCCCUUAUGGGUAGGGCUUCACACGUCAUACAAUGGUCGGUACAGAGGGUUGCCAACCCGCGAGGGGGAGCUAAUCCCACAAAGCCGAUCGUAGUCCGGAUCGCAGUCUGCAACUCGACUGCGUGAAGUCGGAAUCGCUAGUAAUCGUGGAUCAGCAUGUCACGGUGAAUACGUUCCCGGGUCUU